AUUGAACGCUGGCGGCAUGCCUUACACAUGCAAGUCGAACGGUAACAGGUCUUCGGAUGCUGACGAGUGGCGAACGGGUGAGUAAUACAUCGGAACGUGCCUAGUAGUGGGGGAUAACUACUCGAAAGAGUGGCUAAUACCGCAUGAGAUCUACGGAUGAGAGCAGGGGAUCGCAAGACCUUGUGCUACUAGAGCGGCCGAUGGCAGAUUAGGUAGUUGGUGGGAUAAAAGCUUACCAAGCCGACGAUCUGUAGCUGGUCUGAGAGGACGAUCAGCCACACUGGGACUGAGACACGGCCCAGACUCCUACGGGAGGCAGCAGUGGGGAAUUUUGGACAAUGGCGCAAGCCUGAUCCAGCAAUGCCGCGUGCAGGAUGAAGGCCUUCGGGUUGUAAACUGCUUUUGUACGGAACGAAAAGCCCUGGGUUAAUACCCUGGGGUCAUGACGGUACCGUAAGAAUAAGCACCGGCUAACUACGUGCCAGCAGCCGCAGUAAGAC
rnacentral:rRNA from 1 species